GGAGGGAUGACCGAGUGGCCGAAGGUAACGCAUUGCUAAUGCGUCGUAUGGCUUUAACCCAUACCGAGGGUUCGAAUCCCUCUCUCUCCG
rnacentral:tRNA from 1 species